CUUCGACCUCAUCUCCCUCAACAAUUUCGGAGAAUUUGGAUCAAAGCAUCCCAACGUUGCAACUCAACGGCCAACUCCGGAUGGCGGCGAAGGAUCCUUCGAAAAAGAUUGAACCCGGCCGUGAAGGAAAUCUCAACGUGUUCGUCCAUAUUCAACUACAUCUCCUCCGAUGCCUUGUACUCACUGACGCGUUACUCAUAACCUCCUGCCUCAACUGUGUCACUCAGCCUUAAGCUCGGCGAUCUCUCCUUCACUCCCGGAGUGACUUUUAUUAGGAAUAUCUAGCCAUUUCUUUCCUCCCCCUCCCAACCUUCCCAUAAAAUAGCAUCAAGUAGAGGGCCUAGAGGCUGCCACUACUAGAAAGUUUACUAUUAGAGGCGAAAGUAGGGGCAUUUGAUAAAAAUUGCCUUGUAAAAUAGCAAUUACGACUGUUCGAAUGAUAUUGUGUAGAGGCACUUUAGCCCCUCUAUUGUAAUUUAUGCUAUUAAAGGUAUUUUUGGUAUUCAAUACUUCAAUUUUUUCUUCCUUAUAACACCCAAAUGCAAAUUACGACACUCAUGACUUGCUUUCUACCUUUCUCCUCCAUUCACAGUAUCGAAUGAAUCAAAGAACCAUCGAUUUCUCCAGGGUUUUAGUUUUUUAUUUCUAAUCUCUUCUCUUCUUUCUCCAAAUAAUCAUCUUCACCUCCUCCAUCUAUAUCUAGAGCAGAUCAGAAGAACGACAGUAGCUAAGAACAGACUUCACAUCUUGGAUCCACAGACUACACACAUCUCUUUCGAUGCACAAUUCCGAGAAUCUUCGUGAGUUCCUAUGAUUCUCCUUCCUCCCUGUUCCUUUAGUUUCCUUCUUCUCUAUUAUCAAAAUUUCCAAAGUGGCCAUGCCGGCGCUGGGUAUGGAGAACCGACCUUCUAUAGGACUUCGGCUAUUGGGACUCUGUCUUGGAACCUGAUCCAAACUCGGUGUCAACCAAAGCAGAACUACAAAAUUGGAGUAACAGUGAAUGUCUAUCAGAAGGUCUCUUGCCUAAGCAUUGUGCCUUGUCACUUGUUGGUGAACCAAUCAUCUACCCAGAGAUAAACAUUCUUGGAGAUGAACUUCACAGGAGAUGGAUUUCUACCUUGUAACAAAUGCUCAGUUUCUUGAGAGGAUUAGGAUGUUGAAGCCUGUCACCCAGAUGUUGCCACAAAGGACAUUAUGAAGGCAAUUGAUAGGCCACUCUUUGGGGACUUCUGGGAGCAUUUCACUGAUGUCCAAUUCCCCUUCAAGAUGAUCCUGAUGCAAUAGUUAUCCCAAAGAGAAGAAUGUCUGUAAAUAAUGAUUCUCAGUCACUCCCACUAUUUGGAGGGCAUCAAAGCUGGUCGCAAAGAGAACAAAGUUAUAAGCUGAAUUCGACCAUGAAGGUGCACUGUGGUUUUAUGCACAAUGGAGGUGCAGAGAUGGAUCCUGUAGACGUUGAGUAUGUCAAGAAAUGUAGGUUUUGUUGUUGCAUCAAGCAUUUUUGAUGGAUAUGACGCGCCCCACCAGCCUUCAAAUAUAAGCCAUCGAUCCCAAAACCUCUUCUACUUUCUUUUGGUUGUUGAUGAGAAGUCUUUCAACUUCAUUAAGAAAAAUGUCACAAUUAGAGAUGAUCAUCAAGGGGGAAGUGGGUUGGUAUUUGAUGCCUUGUUCCGCUACACCAUCCACCCUAUGAUGAGCCCCGAAGAAAUGGGAAAGUUCCUAAGAUACUAACCCAUCGGCUGUUCCCUCAAGCACAAUACAGUAUCUGGAUUGAUGGAAAAAUGAAGCUGAUAGUUGAUCCUUUGCUUAUGCUAAAAAGGUGGGUCCUAUUGAUUUGGGUGUGGAUGUUGCUCAUUUUGAGUCUAAUUGGCCAAGUUGCACUUUCU